rnacentral:rRNA from 1 species
AGCAGCAGCCACGGUAAUACGUAGGGUGCGAGCGUUAAUCGGAAUUACUGGGCGUAAAGCGUGCGCAGGCGGUUAUAUAAGACAGAUGUGAAAUCCCCGGGCUCAACCUGGGACCUGCAUUUGUGACUGUAUAGCUAGAGUACGGUAGAGGGGGAUGGAAUUCCGCGUGUAGCAGUGAAAUGCGUAGAUAUGCGGAGGAACACCGAUGGCGAAGGCAAUCCCCUGGACCUGUACUGACGCUCAUGCACGAAAGCGUGGGGAGCAAACAGGAUUAGAUACCCCGGUAGUCCCUGUCUCUUAUAC